rnacentral:rRNA from 1 species
UACAGGGGGGGCAAGCGUUGUUCGGAAUUACUGGGCGUAAAGGGCUCGUAGGCGGCCAACUAAGUCACACGUGAAAUCCCCAGGCUUAACCUGGGAACUGCGUGUGAUACUGGAUGGCUUGAAUCCGGGAGAGGGAUGCGGAAUUCCAGGUGUAGCGGUGAGAUGCGUAGAUAUCUGGAGGAACACCGGUGGCGAAGGCGGCAUCCUGGACCGGUAUUGACGCUGAUGAGCGAAAGCCAGGGGAGCAAACGGG